ACACUUUGGCAGCAUAUAUACUAAAGUUGAAAUGCUACAGAGAAGAUUAAAAUGGUCCUUGUGCAAGGAAACAGGCAAAUUCAUGAAGCCUUCUGUAUUUAA